rnacentral:rRNA from 2 species
CCUACGGGCGGCUGCAGUGGGGAAUCUUGCGCAAUGGGGGCAACCCUGACGCAGCCAUGCCGCGUGAACGAUGAAGGCCUUAGGGUUGUAAAGUUCUUUUACCCGUGACGAUGAUGACGGUAACGGGGGAAUAAGCUCCGGCUAACUUCGUGCCAGCAGCCGCGGUAAUACGAAGGGGGCUAGCGUUGUUCGGAAUUACUGGGCGUAAAGCGCGCGCAGGCGGUUCGAUAAGUUGGGGGUGAAAUCCCCGGGCUCAACCCGGGAAUGGCCUUCAAGACUGUCGAGCUAGAGGACGAGAGAGGUGAGUGGAAUUCCCAGUGUAGAGGUGAAAUUCGUAGAUAUUGGGAAGAACACCGGUGGCGAAGGCGGCUCACUGGCUCGUUUCUGACGCUGAGGCGCGAAAGCGUGGGGAGCAAACAGGCUUAGAUACCCCGGUAGUC